rnacentral:rRNA from 1 species
CACAGAGGUCUCAAGCGUUGUUCGGAAUCACUGGGCGUAAAGCGUGCGUAGGCUGUUUCGUAAGUCGUGUGUGAAAGGCGCGGGCUCAACCCGCAGACGGCACAUGAUACUGCGAGACUAGAGUAAUGGAGGGGGAACCGGAAUUCUCGGUGUAGCAGUGAAAUGCGUAGAUAUCGAGAGGAACACUCGUGGCGAAGGCGGGUUCCUGGACAUUAACUGACGCUGAGGCACGAAGGCCAGGGGAGCGAAAGGG